rnacentral:misc_RNA from 1 species
AAGACUAUAGACCUGCGGAGUACCUGCGGAAGGAUCAUUAUCAUAUUGUAACAAUUGGGGGGGCCACCGUGGGCUGUCGCUGACCCUUUGAAAGGGGGGUCGUGCACGCCCCCAUAGUGUCAUCCUCAUACAAUCCAACUCACCUCUGUGCAUCACCGCGUGGGUUCCUUUCUGGGUCGAGUCAGACUGGCUCAGAAAAAAGGGGCUUGCGUUUUCCAUACAAAUACCCUUAUAAAUCCA